UCGGGAAUAUUGCGCAAUGGAGGAAACUCUGACGCAGUGACGCCGCGUGCAGGAAGAAGGUUUUCGGAUUGUAAACUGCUUUAGACAGGGAAGAAACAAGACAGUACCUGUAGAAUAAGCUCCGGCUAACUAUGUGCCAGCAGCCGCGGUAAUACGUAGGGAGCAAGCGUUAUCCGGAUUUAUUGGGUGUAAAGGGUGCGUAGACGGGAAUGCAAGUUGGUUUGUGAAAUCCCUCGGCUCAACCGAGGAAUUGCAACCAAAACUAUAUUUCUUGAGUGCUGGAGAGGAAAGUGGAAUUCCUAGUGUAGCGGUGAAAUGCGUAGAUAUUAGGAGGAACACCAGUGGCGAAGGCGACUUUCUGGACAGUAACUGACGUUGAAGCACGAAAGUGUGGGGAGCAAACAGGAUUAGAUACCC
rnacentral:rRNA from 1 species